UCGUUCGGCGGGUAGGGCUUGCCGUCGGCGCGCCUGACGCCGAGCUUUGUCCAUUCGGCGAAGCUCGCGCGCGAUUUGCGGUAGUCGAA
rnacentral:tRNA from 1 species